CCUUGCCAGCCCGCUCAAGAAACUUAAUGAAUUGACGGGGCCCGCACAAGCGGUGGAGUAUGUGGUUUAAUUCGAUGCAACGCGAAGAACCUUACCUGGUCUUGACAUCCCGGAGACCCUUAGGAAACUAGGGGGUGCUUCCAUCUGGAAGAAUCUGGAGACAGGUGCUGCAUGGCUGUCGUCAGCUCGUGUCGUGAGAUGUUGGGUUAAGUCCCGCAACGAGCGCAACCCUUGCCUUUAGUUGCCAGCAGUUCGGCUGGGCACUCUAAAGGGACUGCCGGUGUUAAACCGGAGGAAGGUGGGGAUGACGUCAAGUCCUCAUGGCCUUUAUGACCAGGGCUACACACGUACUACAAUGGCCGAUACAAAGGGCAGCGACACUGCGAGGUGAAGCCAAUCCCGUAAAAUCGGUCUCAGUCCGGAUUGGAGUCUGCAACUCGACUCCAUGAAGUUGGAAUCGCUAGUAAUCGUGGAUCAGCAUGCCACGGUGAAUACGUUCCCGGGCCUU
rnacentral:rRNA from 1 species